rnacentral:lncRNA from 1 species
UGAAAUCUUGCCAAUCCUCGGGACUCUCCGUAGACAUUCUUCCGAACACCUCCGUCCCCUAGGGGACUUCUCGUUCUAAUCUCUAUUCGCGUUACGUUCCGAUCGCCGAUCCGCUUCUCGCCAACCUGGGUUGUCACAUCAUUCGUUGCGGUCUUCUCUGAGCGUGGAACCCCUGAAGUGGUCCGUGCAAAUGAUUCGACGUCGUCCGUGUGAAUGUCUGUCGAAGCCCAUAUCCAUUACUGUUCUCUUUGCGGAUGCAUGCCAAGGGAUUCACUAUUACAGUUUCACCUCCAGGGUUCCCACAUUCGGCGACAUGAAUGUUCGAUUGAGAAUGGAGGACAUCCAGAACGAAAUCCACAGCAUGUAGGAGCUACGGACGUCCGCAAAGGAAGUGGGUGUAUAUAUAUAUAUAAUCCAACCAUCUAUUAUCGCACGUAGUAAAGCUUGCUUGAUAUGAUUAGGUUAAUAGUUAAUUAACUAGUAUUAUUGAAAUAUGACUUUCAUCCUUAUAUAACCUAAACCUUUCUUCAUUAUACUAUCUUUGCAGCUCGAAUCAUUUCAGAGGAUUUUAAUCCAA